rnacentral:ncRNA from 2 species
GGAGAGGUUCUAGUUAUACCCUCUAUAAAAAACUAA